AUGAACGCUAGCUACAGGCUUAACACAUGCAAGUCAGGGGCAUCAUGAAGUUGCUUGCAAACUUGAUGGCGACCGGCGCACGGGUGAGUAACGCGUAUCCAACCUGGCCCGCAGUAGGGAACAGCCCGGCGAAAGUCGGAUUAAUGCCCUAUGUCUCCUUUGCAGGCAUCCAAUGAGGAAGAAAGAUUUAUCGCUGCGGGAUGGGGAUGCGUCUGAUUAGCUUGUCGGCGGGGUAACGGCCCACCGAGGCUACGAUCAGUAGGGGUUCUGAGAGGAAGGUCCCCCCACACUGGUACUGAGACACGGACCAGACUCCUACGGGAGGCAGCAGUGAGGAAUAUUGGUCAAUGGGCGAGAGCCUGAACCAGCCAAGUAGCGUGCAGGAUGACUGCCCUAUGGGUUGUAAACUGCUUUUAUGCGGGGAUAAACUUCAGCACGUGUGCUGUUUUGCAGGUACCGCAUGAAUAAGGACCGGCUAAUUCCGUGCCAGCAGCAGC
rnacentral:rRNA from 1 species